UAUUACACAUACAUGAUAGCCGGAGCUUGCAUUCACAUAUAUGUUCCUCACCCAACGCUAGUUGCAGUAGUUUUUUCUAGCAGGUAUAUGUAGGGGGAGAGAUCGAUCGAGAUGGAUGAUGCCAACAAUGGAUACAUCAGCAGCAUAUAUAGAAGCAAAGGAACCAACAGCAGCAAAAGGUGAAAAAAAGAAGAAGAAAGAAACCAAGGUGUGUGUGUGACCCCAAGGAUGCAAAACCGAACGAACAGGUUGAGAGGCAGCAGCAGGCAGCCAUAUGCCAUUAGCUCACGCAGGAGCUAGCUAGCAGUUUAAUCACUCGCUGCCCGCGGGCUUGUAGGCGAUGAAGCUGACGCACUGCGUCUGCUUGAUGUUGUCGAAGCCGAGGAUCCGGACGUAGGCGUCCGGGUAGGAGGCGAUGGCCUCCUGCAGCUCCUUGUAGACCUGCGACGCGUCGGUGCAGCCGAACAUGGGCAGCUUCCACAUGGUCCAGUAGCGGCCGUCGUAGUAGCACGGGGAGGUGGAGUUCUCGCGGUACACGAAGCCUUCCUUGCUGAACUCGAGGCAGGGCACCCAGUUGUUGCGCAGCAGGUAGUCCACCUGCUUCAGCAGCUGCUCCUCCGUCAGCGGCGGCAGGUACGACAGCGUCUCGAACUUCUUGUUCCCGUACGCCGGCCACACCUGCAAAUUAAUGCAUGCAUCGAUCGAUGUACGUGUUUGUGGUUGCAUUUCGCUAGCUCUGCUGCAAAGAAUGAAUGAAGAUGGCCGGCCGGAGCCAAGAACGAAAGGCCAACUAGCUCUUGUGUUAAUUAUGUUGUUAUUACCUGCAUGCACCGGAUCCUGCCGCCGUUGCUGACUUUGGCGAGGCUGGUGGUGGAGCGGCGGGCGACGGGGAGGGUGGCGGUGGACUUGAGACCCUGGAACGGAGCGACGGCGGUGGCGGACGAGGCCAUCACGGUGGGCGCCAUUGCUGCUGCUAUGUAGUACUAGUAGCUAGUGAGGGAGCGAGCUGAGAGUGAGCUGCUUGCUGUUUUUGCUGCUUCUUGCUGCUUGGGUCGUCCUGUAGGCUCCCCCACCGAGGGCAUAUAUAGAAGAGGCAGCGAGCGUGCGUCCAUGGCGACGGAUGGCUGUCGUUGGGGCAAGGACGGAUCGGACGAAUGAAGCGGAUGUGGGAGGAGUGGCCACCGUUGUCCCAUGGCGGGCAACCCGGCCAGCCUGGCCUAUCCUGAUCGCGUCCGCCGCCACAUGUCGCGUCCCCGUGGCGCGCCUUAUCGUCUCAGCCAGCCAACAUGUCCAUGGAGCCACGCCACGCCACGCCAUGGUUGGACUAUAUGUGAUGUGCCACCACUUUAAUUAUUUGUAGAUAGAUAGAUAGAUAGAUAAGCUAGCCGCAGGUAGUAGUGCAGUGGUGAAAGUCACUACUACUGACUGCAAACCAAAAUUUCCCUGGCCGUGCCCGGACUCGCUCGCUGUCUCCGAUUAAACCUAGGUAUAUGUUGAGCAGGACGUCCCCUGGCCGUCGCCAUGGCCGGACUCGCUCGAUCUCUAGGAUCCGAGGUGGUCCUGCUCUGCUCCGUCGUCGGCGAAGAUGAAGACACACCCACUCGUCGUCCCCUUCCUCAUGCAAAUCUGCGCCGCACAAGCUGUUUCCAAAAUUUCGCUGGCCGUGGCCGGACUCGCUCGCUAUCUAUCUCCGGUCUCCCGUCGCCGAUCAAACCGAUCGAGCAGGACGUCGCCGCCGUGGCCGGACUCGCCCUCUAGCUCGUCGUCCACGAUCGAGCCAGGAUCCGGCCGAGGUGGUCGUGGUCCUGCUGCUCGGUCGGUGAAUGACUGACUCGUCCCCUUCCUCCUGCUGCAAAUCUCCGCCGGACGCAUGCAUCCGCCGUCUCUCUCAAGCAGAAGCAGUUCCAUUCAGCUCGAUCGUCGUGGUUUGUGAAAGGAUAAGUGAAGAACGACGACAAUGGAAG
rnacentral:lncRNA from 1 species